GAUGAACGCUGGCGGCGUGCCUAAUACAUGCAAGUCGAGCGAACAGAUAAGGAGCUUGCUCCUUUGACGUUAGCGGCGGACGGGUGAGUAACACGUGCGUAACCUACCUAUAAGACUUGGAUAAUUUCGGGAAACCGCAGCUAAUACCGGAUAACAUUUCGAACCGCAUGGUUCUAAAGUGAAUGAGGGCUUUGCUGUUUCUUAUAGAUGGUCUCGGGCCGUAUUAGCUAGUUGGUAAGGUAACGGCUUACCAAGGCAACGAUCCGUAGCCGACCUGAGAGGAUGAUCGGCCACACUGGAACUGAGACACGGUCCAGACUCCUACGGGAGGCAGCAGUAGGGAAUCUUCGACAAUGGGCGAAAGCCUGACGGAGCCACGCCGCGUGGGUGAAGAAGGGUUUCGGGUCGUAAAGCUCUGUUAUUAGGGAAGAAAAGACGUGUAAUAAAAUCUGGACGUCUUGACGGUACCUAAUCAGAAAGCAACGGCUAACUACGUG
rnacentral:rRNA from 1 species